GGAACUACAGGUAAGAAGCAGACAGACAAACCAAGAAUGGUUAGUCAGGGGGUGAGCAGCUCCUCACCUUCUCAUAACAGACACACUACCUUAGUAAGUGUGACUGCAAGGACACAUGCAAACUGAAGAGGCAGUUCCCAGGCAGAGCCUGACCCAUGAGACCAAGGUCGUUAACUAAAAUCCAGAUACAGGGUUUCCACUUCCUCAGAGGAAAGUAUUCUAAAGAGCACGGUAGAGUGAGGCAGUUCCCCUCAUACUGAGAAACUGGAACAGGUCCUAUUGUCAAUGCUGCAGAGGCACCAGGAGAGCCCAGCACCAAGUCUGCCAAAGACCCUAAGAGCCUGUGUUGGUGCCACCAUCUUCUGUGGAACUUUUCCACCCCCAGCUCUCAUAUCACUAAGAGAUUUGAUGGGCCCUCUUUGCUCCGCCCACAGUGCCUGCAUAUUCAAUGACUGACAAGCUGACCUGCAAAUCUGCAUCUGACCCAGAGAACGUCCUUGCAUUCUAGACUCCCAUUCUUAACAUCCUCAUCUCAUGAACCUGAACAAGUAGAAUCCCAAAUUCAACAGCUAGAAGAGAGCUUGCCCAUAACUAUGGCCUCAGAGUCCCAGUAGCAGCAGCUGACCUGCUCAUGACACAUGGCGAACUCUCACCCUGUGAGACACUUGGCAUGUCUUCACUUACUCCCGGUACUUAGGCUUACUGGGUUUAUGUACCUGACUCCCACCUAGAACACGAGGUGCACGAAGGGAAACCUUUUUCAAGGUUUCCAAAAGAUGUUUAACGUCAACUUCUAAGCCUACAGUUUAAAAGACAAAACAAGAGUAUGGAGAGACAGCUUAGCAGUUCAAGCAGACCCAAGUUCAAUUCCCAUCAUCCACAUAAGGGCUUACAAUUGUAAGUUGUUACUCCAGUUCCAGGGGAACCAAUGCCCACUUCUGGCCUCUGGGGGCACCAGGCACACACCUAGUGUUCAGACAUACAUGCAGUCAAAACACCCAUACAUAGAAGAUAAAAUAGAGCAAAAUAAAGACAAGUAAAAAAGCACACAGAGCAAUAUGAGAAGUAGGAGUCAAGGUCACUGAAUGCAGAUGAGAUCAGGAUCAGUCACAAGCAUCUGAGAGCUACUCUCAGGCAGCGUGGAGUCACUCCAGGUGGUCUAAGGUGAGCACGCGGCUCAGAAAUCACCCUGCAUCACACAUGACUGUGCCACGCUGAGGUCAGAGGAUCCUAGCAGUCCUCUGCUCAGAUAGAGUGGAUCUUCACAAGUGGCCCUACUCACCUUUCUCCAAGAAAUUCUCCAAGUCCUCAGUAAGGUUAGGUGAAUCCUCGUGAUCCAGCAUAAACUUCAGGAUGACAGCCAACUCAGCCUAUGCCACAGAGAGAGAAAAGGACAUCACUGUGGAGCCGGAGACGACACUGAUGGGAGGGCUCGGGACCUAUCCCAGCAGUGCUAACCCCAGGGCCUGCUGGGUCCCUCUUAACCCAUAAAGCUGAAGCUGCACGGCCUGCCCAAAACACGCUGGCUCUACGUGCUCUUCCCUCCCGGAAAGUUUUUACGGAUAACUUUGCUGACUUCUUGCAAAUAACCCCUGGCAGAGGAAAAACCAAGUGGCGUGGCAAGAAGGCACAUAGGGACACACACCCAAAGGCUGCAAAUCCUACACUGUCUCCAAAUACAGGACAAUUCAAAGCAUGUGUACUGAACAGUCUGGGAAUGACAGUACCAGCAAUGUCAUUUCCUUCUUCGCAUUUAAACAUUUUCUCCUUUUGCUUUUUAAACAAUAUUACAAAUAUUACCUUUUUAGAGAAUAAUAAUUUUUAAAGAAUAAUAAAUUUUAAAGGGAAACAUUUGGGUGAGGGAAGCCCAGGCUGGGCUGGCAAGUGAGACGAAAGCACAAAAGCCUACCUGAACCCCAUAUUCAAACUGCUCCCAGUCCCGGGGGUUUCUGGAGCUCAUGGUGGAGUGAUAUAAAAAUAGCAUUACCAUCUAGAAGGCAAACGAAGGCACAGUGACUGAGUGACAGGUCUCUUUCUAAUGCUCCCAACUCAGAGCUGCUCUGAGUCAGUCUCUUUCACAAGUUCCCAUUCGCAGGCCAAGCCACCACCCUUCAUAACCGCAGGCAGAGAGAUGGCGCAGUGGUGAGAGCACUGGCUACUCUCCUAGAGAACCAGGUUCAGUCCCUGCAACCACAUGACAACUCCCCCCUUCCAGAUCGUCAUCCUCACCCUCACAUAGACACGCCCGCAGGCAAAGCACCAAUGCACAUAAAAGAAGUCUUUAAAAUGGGAGACAACAUUUUUUCCAAAAUAAAUCCAAGGGCUCACAAGGCAGUGGUGACUCACAACUUAAUCCCAGCACUUGGGAGGCAAAGGCAGUGGAUCUGAGUUUGAAGUCAGCCUGGUCUAUAAAAUGAGGUCUAGGACAACCAGAGCUACACAGAGAAACCUUGUUUCUGAGAUGACGAUAACAACAAUAAUAAAACAAAUAAAUUCAAUUCAACUGAUGCUCACAGUGCAGAAAGACAGGUGUCACAAUUUCUACACAGUCGAAUUCCUCAACUUAAGGAAUCAUGAGCAUAAAACUAAGGACUAUCUCUACAGACCAGCACCCAGCAGAGGAAAUGAAGUCAACUAAGCUUGAAAGAAAAACACGAUGACCACUGAGUGAGGACCAACCCUCCAUCGUGGGUAGCAGUGUGGUCAAGUCGAGUCGUUUGUCCAAGAUCACAGGCUUACAGAAUCCUUAGACAAAAAUGGCCUCUGAAUCAACCAACUGGCUGGCCUUGCCUCCACAUUUGAAGAGUCCCAGAAAGAAAGCACUCAGCACUCCUCUAGGUCUCUGCCACCCAAGUCUGGAACCCCACAGGUACCUUGGCCAGUUCCAUCUCGGAGCCCUCCAUCACUUUCUGCACAGAUACCAGGCAUUGUGUAGAUGAAGGAUGCUUCCGAUUUUCUGCAAUGACAGCCAUAUAGCAAACAAUAAACUCUCAAAACUUCUCAGCUUCAGAAACAGAAGCACAGUCUCCAAGGAGACUACCAGGCAGAGGGCCCCUUACUCCUAACUCUCGUCACCUGCCCCAUAUUUCCACCUGAAGUCAGCUCUACUGUGGGACAGCUUGUGCUCCACUUGAGUAUUAGAAGAAAAGCCGCUAGGGCAUCAGCAAUGAUAACUCUGGUUGAGAGUUAUCUACACGUACCUGUCAGCUCAUUGGCUCUCUCCCAGAGCCUGAAGGAAGGAGCCAGAGAUUUGAGAUCAUUCUAGAGCCCUGUCUCAGCUAAGUCUGAAGAGAAGGUCUACAAGUGAGUCCAGUAAGAGAAACUGAGGACACUGUGCCCUUAUGCUGCCAGAGCCAUUUCACAGUAGAUAAUCUCUUGAGGUAGAAAUGGCAGGCAAGCUGUUCAACGUUAAAGAUGACAAUUCUGUGAUACAAAAAUGACCAGGGAGUGGAAGCUGACGUGCACUGUGCCCCAAGUUCCACAAGCAUUCUUAUUUAAUCCUUCUACUAACCAGAUGAGCACAAUACACAGAGAACCUAUGUGUUUAAUAAAAAAUGGCCUCUGCACCUUUACCUCCUAUGUAAGCAAUUACCUAAGAAUACUAUUUUUCUUGCAAAGGAAAGGAAUUUUCUUACAAAGUUAAUAUGAAGCCUUUCUUUCCUUUCUCUUCAAAAUAGGGAGGAUCACAGUGUUAUCAAUUGUCUGAUCUAUCUGGACCUGACAUGGACUCUAGGACUGAAGAGACAUUUUCCUUAAAAAUAAGCUGGUGGUGGAGGCACCUCAAGAUUCAGGGAGGCUGACACAGCUAUCUGUCUUUCUGCUAGAGUUGGGGACUCUAAACCUUCCUGAAGCCAGACACCCAUGACUGAGUUCCCAGGUCCCAGGAGCUGGAGCUGACCAGCUAGUUAAUAUACUUACUCUGUAGAAAACUGCAAACAAAGUCUAGUCUUUCCGGCAGUGGCUGCUGUAGGAUUUGUUGCCCCUCUUUAGUGUCAUGGCUAAAACAAACAAAAAGCAACCAUUAGGACAAGAGAACCCGCCAUUUUUGCCUCCUGUUUCCCUACAGCCUCCCUCCCCUUCAGGCCCAGUCUGUUCUAGGCCUGGAGGCAGUGAAGAAGACUCAAAAACACUACUUUACUCUGAUGAAAAUGUAUGGUGGGUAAGAAAUGCAGCCUUCAAGCACAAGAUUCUUCUAUAAAAUAUGGCACUCUGACAAGCCACUUGCAAUACAACAAAGUUUUGUGAGAAAGCUGGGAGGAAAUGGCACAAAUAAAUGGGAAGCUAUGUUAAACUGCCUAGAGUGGCUCAACUCUAACAUGUCAGAAAACACGGGAAACAUGGCUAAAAGUAAAGUGGGAGAGGACCAUGGAAAGAGACAACAGGGCCAAAGUCGGAAACAAAAUGGGUGAAGCCAAGGCUCUGAAAUGACAGUACAAAGUUCUCACACUCUACAGUAGGCACAGACAGAAAUGGCUGAAGACUCUAAGAGGUGGUACUAAGGAACAAUCAUUCUUCCUCAAACUAUCCAACAACCAACGCAUAAAAGCGAAAAGAAACAAGGGAGAGAGUGUGAUGGUUUGUACAUGUUUGGCCCAGGGAGUGGCACUACUAGGAUGUGUGCCAUUGUUGGAGUAGGUGUGUCACUGUGGGCAUGAACUUUAAGACCAACGUUCUAGUUGCCUAGAAGCGAAUUUUCUCCUAGCUGCCUUCAGAACAAGAAAUGUUAACUUAGCUUCUCCAGCCUCACAUCUGCCUGGCACUGCCAUGCUCCUGCCUUGAUGAUAAUGGACUGAGCCUCUCAACCUGUAAGCCAGCCCCAAUUAAAUGUUGUCCUUUACAAAACUUGCAUUGGUCAUGGUGUCUGUUCACUGCAAUAAAACUCUAAGACAAAAGUUGGUACCAGGAACUGGAGUAUUGCUGUGAUAGGCCUGACCAUGCUUUUGUUUAGAAGAAUGUGGCCGUUAUGGGGCUUUGGAUUUGGAAAGCAGUGGAAUCCUUUAAGUGGGGCUUAAUGGGCAAUCCUAGUAGGACUUUGUUGGAAGACUUUGUUGCUGAGAGUGAUUUGAAGGGUGCAAGACCUGGCCCAAGAGGUUUGUUUCAGUGGAGAAGAAUCUCAGUAUAUGGCAUAGAAACUGUUUUUGUGGUAUUUUGGUGAAGAAUGUGGCUGGCUGCUUUUUGUCUAAAGAGUAACAGCCUGGUGUAACUUCUGUUGGGUGGUUACUACUGUGCUUAUGAAGAGCAUUCUAAUGAAAAGGAGCGAGCUGAGAAAGGACAAUGGAAAAUGUAUGGUUCAAGAUUAAAGGGGCACCAGGAACUGAAAUGGAGCUGAAUCCUGUGUUCAAGGCUAUUACAUUAAGGGAGUGGGGACAUUGGGGCAAGACCCCACUCAGCUAAGUUUAGGUCCAGGCAUGAUAAUACAAGCCUUUAAUCCCAGGAGGCAAAGUCAAUCAGAUCUCUGAGUUCAAGGCCAGCAUAGAACAGAGCAAAUUCUAGGCAAAGAAAACUUAAGCACAGGCUUGGUGGAGCACAUGUUUAAUCCCAGUGCUUAGGAGUCAGGCCUGCAGACCUCUGAGCUCAAAGUCAGUCUACGGAACAAGUUCCAGGACAGCCAAGCUUAGGCAGUGAAGGCGUUGGAAAACACAAAGCUGGUGAUAAUGUAAUAGAACAAGGGGGCCAUGUUCCGGCCCCAGCAAGAACAGAACUCAGAAGCUUCACCAUGUGGCUCUGGCUUUAGAGUCACGAACAGAAAUGACUACUGGGACACUGAUGCUAGUUAGCUGGGGCUAAGAAAUAAGCGGUGAUUAAAAAGAGACCAGCAUCACUGAGGUGAAAUCUUCUGGGAAGUGUUUAAUGAGAGCACAAAGAAGCUGUGUCUAGAAGUAGCCAAGGUUGUACCUCAUGCUGCAGCUGACUUGCCUUGGUCGUGGUAUCUGUUCAUAGCAGUAAACCAUAACUAAGACCAUAAAACUCUUAAUACUGCCCCUGGCAUAAGUAAAUCAAUACGGAACUGUCCUGGAGCCAUGGUUCAACUAUCCUGAUGCUAUGUCCCUGUAAUACAGUUCCUCAUAUUGUGGUGACCUCCAUCCGAAAACUAUUUUCAUUGAGACUACAUAACUAUAACUUUGCUACUAUUAUGAAUUAUGAUAUGAUUAUAUAAUAUAUAAGAUAUCUCAUACGAGUCCUAUGAAAGGGUGGUUCACCAACCCCAAAGUGGUCACAACCCACAGACUGAGAACCACUUUCCUAGAGCCCAUCCCAGACUGCUCACAUCUCUAAGCUAUCAGGAAGGAAGCUGUCUAGAAUGACAGCUAACUUCCAUCACCCUCUCACAAGCAUUCUACAGAGCUCACAUAACCAUGCAGUGGUACCACUUAGAACCGCCUGCCCACUCUGGCUGCUGAUAGAAAGGAAGGCAUCUAGUGUGCAUCCAGGACAUCCACGGUGACUCAGUACUUGAAGGACAGAGAGGAGAGGUCAACAUAGUAAGACAAAUACCAUGCCCCUAAGGGAGGGAAAAAGUCAAGUUGAGUGUACAGCUUUUCUCCCAGCACUUGGGUGGCAGAGGCAGGUGGAUGGAUCUUCAUGUGGUCUACAUAGUUAGUUCCAGGCCAGAAAAGGCUACAUAGUGAGACCCUGUCUCAAAAAAAAAAAAAAAAAAAAAAAAAAAAAAAAGAAAAGAAAAGAAAAGAAA